UACGGAGGGGGCGAGCGUUAUUCGGAAUUAUUGGGCGUAAAGCGCGCGUAGGCGGCCUCGCAAGUCGGCCGUGAAAUCUCCCAGCUCAACUGGGAGGGGUCGGGCGAGACUGCGGAGCUCGAGGUGGGUAGAGGGCAGUGGAAUUCCGGGUGUAGUGGUGGAAUGCGUAGAGAUCCGGAGGAACACCAGUGGCGAAGGCGGCUGCCUGGGCCUGGCCUGACGCUGAGGCGCGAAAGCGUGGGGAGCAAUCCGG
rnacentral:rRNA from 1 species